rnacentral:rRNA from 1 species
GCGGUGGAGCAUGUGGUUUAAUUCGAUGAUACGCGAGGAACCUUUACCAGGGCUUAAAUGUAGGUUGCAUUAGACAGAGAUGUUUAUUUCUUCGGACUACUUACAAGGUGCUGCAUGGUUGUCGUCAGCUCGUGCCGUGAGGUGUCAGGUUAAGUCCUAUAACGAGCGCAACCCCUGUCGUUAGUUGCCAGCAUGUAAAGAUGGGGACUCUAACGAGACUGCCGGUGCAAACCGCGAGGAAGGUGGGGAUGACGUCAAAUCAUCACGGCCCUUACGUCCUGGGCUACACACGUGCUACAAUGGUAUGGACAGAGAGCAGCCACUGGGUGACCAGGAGCGAAUCUACAAACCAUAUCACAGUUCGGAUUGCAGGCUGCAAUUCGCCUGCAUGAAGUCGGAAUCGCUAGUAAUCGCAGGUCAGCAUACUGCGGUGAAUACGUUCCCGGGCCUU